rnacentral:tRNA from 1 species
UGGCUCAGUUGGUAGAGCAUGGCACUUGCAAUGCUAGGGUUGUGGGUUUGAUUCCCAU